rfam:[Clostridium] neopropionicum strain DSM-3847 CLNEO_contig000001, whole genome shotgun sequence.
GCGCCCUUAGCUCAGUUGGUAGAGCAACUGACUCUUAAUCAGUGGGUCCAGAGUUCGAGUCUCUGAGGGCGCA